rnacentral:rRNA from 1 species
CACGGGGGGAGCAAGCGUUGUUCGGAAUCACUGGGCGUAAAGGGCGUGUAGGCGGUCAGAUAAGUGAGAUGUGAAAUCCCUCGGCUCACCCGAGGACCUGCAUCUCAUACUGUUUGGCUUGAGUACGGGAGAGGAUGAGGGAAUUCCUGGUGUAGCGGUGAAAUGCGUAGAUAUCAGGAGGAACACCGGUGGCGAAGGCGCUCAUCUGGCCCGAUACUGACGCUGAGGCGCGAAAGCUAGGGGAGCAAACGGG